UUAAGUUCAGCGGGUAUCCCUACCUGAUCCGAGGUCAAGCGUAAAAGGUAUAGGCUUGUGGACGCCGCCGCACCCGAGCGAGAGCGCAAAAUGUGCUGCGCUCCCACGCGGGACGGCUGGCUGCCAAUGCAUUUGAGGCGAGUUCACGCGCGCGGCGGAACAAACGCCCAACACCCAGCAGGGCUGAGGAGGUACAAAUG
rnacentral:misc_RNA from 1 species